CACGUAGGGUGCGAGCGUUGUCCGGAAUUAUUGGGCGUAAAGAGCUCGUAGGCGGUGUGUCGCGUCGGCCGUGAAAACCUGCAGCUUAACUGUGGGCUUGCGGUCGAUACGGGCAUCACUGGAGUUCGGCAGGGGGAGACUGGAAUUCCUGGUGUAGCGGUGAAAUGCGCAGAUAUCAGGAGGAACACCGGUGGCGAAGGCGGGUCUCUGGGCCGAUACUGACGCUGAGGAGCGAAAGCGUGGGGGAGCGAACAGGA
rnacentral:rRNA from 1 species